UCCCUGGUGGCACAGACAGUAAAGCAUCUGUCUACAAUGCAGGAGACCCAGGUUCGAUCCCUGGGUUGGGAA
rnacentral:tRNA from 1 species